UUGCUUCCGGCUGACAAGUGGCGGACGGGUGAGUAACGCGUGGGAAUCUGCCUACUAGCGGGGGAUAGCCACGAGAAAUCCGGAUUAAUACCGCAUACGCCCUACGGGGGAAAGCUGGGGAUCUUCGGACCUGGCACUAGUAGAUGAGCCCGCGUUGGAUUAGCUUGUUGGUGGGGUAAUGGCCUACCAAGGCAACGAUCCAUAGCUGUUCUGAGAGGAAGAUCAGCCACACUGGGACUGAGACACGGCCCAGACUCCUACGGGAGGCAGCAGUGGGGAAUAUUGCACAAUGGGCGCAAGCCUGAUGCAGCAAUACCGCGUGUGUGAAGAAGGCCUGAGGGUUGUAAAGCACUUUCAAUCGUGAAGAAAAGCUUAAGGUUAAUACCUUUAAGUCUUGACAUUAUCGAUACAAGAAGCACCGGCUAACUCCGUGCCAGCAGCCGCGGUAAUACGGAGGGUGCAAGCGUUUAAUCGGAAUUACUGGGCGUAAAGCGUGCGUAGGCGGUUUACUAAGUCAUAUGUGNAAAGCCCCGGGCUUAACCUGGGAACUGCAUUUGAUACUGGUAGGCUAGAG
rnacentral:rRNA from 1 species